GGGGGGGGGGGGCGGGGUGCCUGGGGGGGGCGGGUCGAGCGGGGGGAGGGGGAGCUUGGGUGGCUGAUGUUGGCGGCGGACGGGGGGGUCACACGUGGGUAACCUACCUGUAAGCCUGGGAUAACUUCGGGAAACCGGAGCUAAGACCGGCUAAUAUUUUGAACCGCCGGGUUCAUAAGUGAGCGACGGUCUUGCUGUCACUUAUCGAUGGCUCCGCGUUGCUUUAGCUAGUUGGUAAGGUAACGGAUUAACAAGGAAACGAUGCAUAGCCGACCUGGGAGGAUGAUCGGCCACACUGGAACUGAGACACGGUCCAGACUCCUACGGGAGGCAGCAUUAGGGACUCUUCCGCAAUGGGCGAAGGCCUGACGGAGCAACACCGCGUGAGUGAUGAAGGUCUUCGGAUCGUAAAACUCUGUUAUUAGGGAAGAACAUAUGUUUAAGUAACUGUGCACAUCUUGACGGUACCUAAACAGAAAGCCACGGCUAACUACGUG
rnacentral:rRNA from 1 species